UCUAUCCUACGGGAGGCAGCAGUAGGAAAUCUUUCACAAUGGGCGAAAGCCUGAUGGAGCAACGCCGCGUGCAGGAUGAAGGCCUUCGGGUUGUAAACUGCUUUUAUAAGCGAGAAAUAUGAUGGUAACUUAUGAAUAAGGAUCGGCUAACUACGUGCCAGCAGCCGCGGUAAUACGUAGGGAGCAAGCGUUGUUCGGAAUGACUGGGCGUAAAGGGUGCGUAGGCGGUUGUACAAGUUAGAAGUGAAAUACCCAGGGCUUAACUCGGGUGCUGCUUCUAAAACUGUAUGACUUGAGUGCAGUAG
rnacentral:rRNA from 1 species